rnacentral:rRNA from 1 species
GCUCACCAAGGCUACGAUGUAUAGCUGGUCUGAGAGGAUGAUCAGCCACACUGGGACUGAGACACGGCCCAGACUCCUACGGGAGGCAGCAGUCGGGAAUCUUGCACAAUGGGCGAAAGCCUGAUGCAGCAACGCCGUGUGAGCGAUGAAGGCCUUAGGGUCGUAAAGCUCUGUUGUUAGGGACGAAGGGCGAAGGGUUAAUAGCCCUUAGCCUGACGGUACCUUUCGAGGAAGCCCCGGCUAACUACGUGCCAGCAGCCGCGGUAAUACGUAGGGGGCGAGCGUUGUCCGGAAUUAUUGGGCG